rnacentral:rRNA from 1 species
AGAUUGAACGCUGGCGGCAUGCCUUACACAUGCAAGUCGAACGGCAGCACGGGAGCAAUCCUGGUGGCGAGUGGCGAACGGGUGAGUAAUAUAUCGGAACGUGCCCAGUCGUGGGGGAUAACGCAGCGAAAGCUGUGCUAAUACCGCAUACGAUCUAUGGAUAGGAAAGGCGGGGGAUCGACAAGACCUCGCGCGAGUUGGACGCGGCCGAUAUCAGAUUAGCUAGUUGGUAGGGUAAAGCCUACCGAAGGCGACGAUCUGUAGCUGGUCUGAGAGGACGACC